AUUGAACGCUGGCGGCAGGCCUAACACAUGCAAGUCGAACGAGUGGCGCACGGGUGAGAAAUGUCUGGGAAACUGCCCGUUGUAGGGGGAUAUCUCCUGGAAACGGUAGCUAAUAUCGCACACCAUCUGAUGUGCCCACAUGGGAUUAGCUUUUGGGUGGGGUAACGGCUCACCUAGCCGACGAUCCCUAGCUGGUCUGAGAGGAUGACCAGCCACACUGGAACUGAGACACGGUCCGGACUCCUACGGGAGGCAGCAGUGGGGAAUAUUGCACAAUGGGGGCAAGCCUGAUGCAGCCAUGCCGCGUGAAUGAAGAAGGCCUUCGGGUUGUAAAGUACUUUCAGCGACGAGGCGUUACCCACAGAAGAAGCACCGGCUAACUCCGUGCCAGCAGCCGCGGUAAUUC
rnacentral:rRNA from 1 species